UUAGGGUUUGGAUUAGGGUUUGGUUAGAGUUUUAUUUAAGGUUUGAUUUAGGGUUUAGGAUUUGGAUUAGGGUUUUGAUUAGGAUUUGGAUUAGGAUUUGGUUAGGGUUUGAUUUAGGGUUUGGAUUAGAGUUUGGACUAGGAUUUGGUUAGGAUUUGAUUUAUGGUUUGGUUUAGGGUUUAGGAUUUGGAUUAGAGUUUAGGGUUGGAUUAGGAUUUGGAUUAGGGUUUAGAUUUUGGUUAGGGUUUGAUUUAGGGUUUGGAUUAGGGUUUGGUUAAGAUUUUAUUUAAGGUUUGGUUUAGGAUUUAGGAUUGGAUUAGGGUUCGGUUUAGGAUUUGAUUUAGAGUCGGUUUAAGGUUUAGGGUUUGGAAUAGGGUUUAAUUUAAGAUUUGUUUAGGAUUUGACUUAAGAUUUAGGAAUUAUUAGGAUUUAAGAUUUAAUUAGGUUUGGUCUAAAGUUGAGUGAAAUUUAAUAGGGUUUUAACUAGAAUUAAAUUAAGGUUGAAUUGACAUAUAUUUGAGUAAAAUUUGUGAUCAUUCUAAUAUUUCUUUAAGAAUUUUAUUGUUUGUUUGAAAUUUCUUUGAGUUGUUUUGAAUUUGAUUACAUUUGUUUACCAUUAUUAUAGUCUAAUUAGAGCAUUGUUAGUAUUCUAUUUAGGAUUUUGUUAUCGCAAUUUCUAUUCUUCCUUCUACAGCCAG
rnacentral:lncRNA from 1 species